GAGUGGAGCUAACUCCAGCAGUGGGUCCUUGGGACAAACUAGUAUGUGCUCAAGGAGGCUGUCCUGGGGCUGGUGUCCUGGAAGGGGAGUUAGCUGGGACUGGGAAGCAGUAAGGAACAGGAUUAUAGAGACCCCUGGGAGCAGAGUUCAAGGAAUCCUGGGAUAAAGGGGAGAAAACAAACAGUGGAGUCCAAAAGAGACAAGGCUCUCUAAUCUCUCAUAAAAAUGCUGUGGAAAUUUGAAAGGAAAGGAAGAUGAUGGUAUCGCCUGCACUGAGACGAUCCUUAAUCGCUGUUUUGAUGGAUGGGUUCCAUGAGACAGUGGCCGCCAUAGAUCACGUGUAUGGAUCCAAACAGUUGCUAAAUGCUAGCAGAGGCUAGUCCUAUUCCUCCUCGUUGUGCUCCCUCUCGGCAAAACUAGCACUGAUGAUGGUGCUACACUUCCUGAUGUGUGGGACGAAGAAGAGGAUGUGGCCACCCCCCCCCCCCGCUCCGCUUAAGAGUGCUGGGCUCACCUGGGGGAAGCAUGUUUUGCCCAGUAUCCCCAUGAUGGACCUGGAGAUGAUGGCAGCCACAUCUUUACAGAUCAUCAUAAUUUCACACAUCCCCCCCUUGUAUCAAUCACUCAGUAUGCCUAACAGAGUGCAUGAUGAUUAUAUCUGUCCAUUAUGUUAAAGAUGGAUUUUUGCUUCCAUUGAUUGGGGAAUGAGCUCUUGUUCAUUUUUUUUUUAACGAGCACAUCAUAUGUUGCACACAACACAAACACCAUUGUAAUUAUUAUACUAAGUCCAAACUGACAGUAAGCCUAAAGUAGGCCACAACAAGGCAAGCAUUCCACUGCCUCUUUGUCUGUUAAAAAGAUUGAGCCACAUGCUUCAAUGAUCUGAAAUUUUCCAUUGUUACUACUGAGAGGAAGUUUCCUUUUUCAGAGUGUUAAACACUGUGAUUGCUUCCUUCAAGUUCUCGGAUAUUAGUCUUGCAAGUUUUUUUUUUUGUUUUGUUUUUUUAAAUGAACAUUUGCUAUCCCAGACAUCAUCUACAUGUCCAUUCUCUGCUGGAGCUGAUGAUGAUGAUAUUAAUAAAAAACUACUAAUAAUGUUUUACUUGCUUGACAUAAAGUGAUUUAUCCCAGAUGAAUGGAAUUUUUGCAAGUCUGAGUGAUUAUAAAGUAUUUAUGUUGCAUUGUAAAUUACUUGGGGCUUUACAAACAGACAAGGCACAUUUCCUGCUCAGAAGAUUUGAUGAUCAAAAUAAGACUAGAUUUGGGAGACCGGGGCUGGUAGGAAUUAUUGAGGAGACCAUGUGCCAACACCUGGCACUUGCACAGUGUUAUAAAACAAACAUUACUGGACUGAGCCUCCCACCAUCCCUCUGAGUGAGGUAUUCUCCCCCAUUCUAUAUAUGGGGAAACAGAGGCACAGAGUUCAAGUCCCUUGCUGGAGAUCACAGUAAAUCAGGGGCGGCACCAGAAUUAAAACUCAGAUGCUUCUGACUCCCAGAUCUAUGCUCUUUCCUCUAAAUUGCACUACCAACCUUGGAGUCAGUGGCUGCUCCCAUGAACUUGGCAGAUUCCCUGUGGGUAGGAUCAGAACCAGGGAUGGGUACAAGGCUGGAUUCUAAUUGCUGAAAUUAAGUAGCUCUAGUUCCACUUAACAAUAAUGUUCUGCAAGAAUGGCAUAUAAAAGUGCAUUUAUUGCGAGUAAAAGGGGUCAGACAGUCCUGGAGACCUAUUUAUCCACAUAACAGGUACAGCAGAAGCACAAGUUUCCCCACACUGCUUCACAUCUGACUUCUAGGGACACACAGUAAUUCAUUCUCCAAGUCCAUUUCAUUUUUGGCCUCUGAUGUUGCCAGUUAAACCUGUUGGUAGUUUUUGUGAUACUGAGUUAUGUCCAUAGGAGUUUGACUGUAUGAAGUGAGAUGAUAGUCUGACAGCCACGAGAUGAUUUUUGGUUGCUGCCAACUUGGGCUGGCUUUGAACAAUCGGGCUGGCUGUGUAAAAGCCCAUUACCAAGCACUGAGCCAUCUAGACCUUCCUGGAAGGAUAUACUAGUAGUGCCCUCUGAUAGUGCAUGGUCCACAGGUCCAUCGCUCCAUGAGCCUCUGAACUAGCUUAUUACUGUACACUGGGCUCAUCUCUUUAAAAGAGUUAUUGUUUGUUACAAACCUGCCAGUUUUGUAAGCAAACUGCUUUCUGGCGUGCAGUUACCCUGUUCAAGUCUGCUCUUGGGGUUUUGCCAGAAUUUCCAUUCUAGACUUAGUCCAAUUAUUGUCAAUAAUGGGAUAUCUUAAGAGCUGUGGGGAUUCCUCAAGGGGUCAAAGCCACUGGUGUCUGAGAAGGUGAUUUUCUGCACAUCUUAACGAUGCAUUUGAAGCAGUAUGUAUUUAGGGCAUAUCAUGGUCCCACUGUAGCCAGCAAUUGAGUUGUUCAUUGCAAUCAAUCUGACAGAUUUAUACCAUUAUAUUUAUGAAUUUCCCAGUGAUGAGACAUUUUCCACAUGUUUAAUUUGUGAAAGUUUGUACCAUUUAUGUGAAUAAAUUUUAAUUUGGGGAUUGCUCACAAAUUGAUUGCUCUUAUUAGUCACUGUUAAUCUAGCCUUCUGUUCAGUUAUUUACAUGGCCAUCAUCACUGCAUGUGGAUAGUUACUUUUUGUGCCAUAUGACUGAUUCCCCCUAAGUCACUAGUUAUUGUCUCUGUUCCCUGAUUGGAUGAUGUAAAUUUUUAUAAAACAUGGUAUCUCUUAUCUGUUCAGAAUUUACCUGUGAAUGUGUGUAAUAAAUUUGCAUGAUGAAUCUACAGGAUGACUGAUUAAAAGGGCUUCAUAAUGACCAUAAGAACACUAUCCAUACAAACAUUCAAUGCAAUUAUACAAGAGUUGCCAUUAUUUAUUUGCUUUGCUUGAAUAUUCCCGUGAAUGAAACUUGCUCACCCCAAUGUUGGUCAAAAAGACAAUAAAUGAGGUUGUGGAUGCCAAUGAGGAAAAUCACUGGAGAAAGGUUUGGAGAAACGGCUGUCACUUCAGAUGCUUAUCUGGGCCAAACGUCGGAGUUCUAAGAUUCAUCUAUUAGUGGUGAUGUAUUUUGAUUUGUUUUAUUUUGAGUUGGAGCUGGAUGAAUAGCUCACACUUUCCAUGGAUAUGCACUCAAAUUAAAUUAAUUUAUAAUUACC